ACUCCUACGGGAGGCAGCAGUGGGGAAUAUUGCACAAUGGGGGAAACCCUGAUGCAGCGACGCCGCGUGGAGGAAGAAGGUCUUCGGAUUGUAAACUCCUCAGCGAGGAAGAUAAUGACGUAC
rnacentral:rRNA from 1 species